AAUGAGAGUCACUGCAGGCUUCUGACAGCACACCUUUUGUCAGUCAUCUAAUCCGGGCUACUGGAGAUCGAAGGAGCUGUUUGCCAAGUAGUCUUUGCUUGAUGGUCAUCCUUGCUGGAAAAGUCUGGUAACUGCCUUGCCUACAAAAACCCCUGUGGCAGAAGAACAAGGACCUCUCAAAGACGUUUUGGACCAAACAAACAGCUCUGUCUCUCUCAGCCACUACCUGCCUGUCCACUUUCAGACUCUGUGCAAGCUACCCACGGACCUCUUAAGACCACUUGGCUCCCACUCCCUCAAACACAUGGAUUAAUCGCUACCAGAAUCAUUAGCCUCCCUUUCAGCCAUCGCCUUCUCCUGAUCCUGACGCAGAUGAAUCCAAUUGCCUGGAGUCAUCCAUUAUUAUUGUUGUUGUGAAAAAAUAUUUAAACUGCUUCCGGAGUCCUGUCUGAUACAGCAUGUGGGUCAAAAAAUCGCCCUAGCAAUAUGACAAUAACAUCAUUAGAACCAUAACAAAAUAUGAAAUAGCAGGCAGCAGUUGCAUCAGGACAGAAUGAAUGCACAAAACUGUUUCAAACUGCUAUUUCCAGUGGAAAAAACUAAUGAGACGAGGUCCUUUAGCCAGAACGAUUUUUCUCCACACCUUUUAGUGCCCUAGGUAAAACUGGGUUUUUUUUUUUAUUGCAGAAUCAUAUUUUCGCCAUUUAAAAAAAAGAAAGAAAAAAAAAGAAAAUUCCUACUUAACUUUAAUUAGUGUGUGUUUUAUUCAAAAUCAACUGUGCCACACUUAGUGACAGUUCUUGCACGAAUGAUGCUCUGGGCGAGCCCCUUCCUUCUGCCCUCCUAUAAACAUUUCAAAUGCAGGAAAUCAUCAAACUUUUUGAUGAGAUAAACUGCAUCGCAGUCCCAUUCAAUGCACAUAAAACAGUUUCCCUAUAGCAGCAAGGAGUACGUGCUAACUCGCUAUCAACUCCACAUGCAUAAAAGCAGAGAAGGAAAACUUGUUCAAGCUACACCUGACAGAAAAGUUAUAUAUUGUCUGGUGCUUGUGUGAAACCACCACCCCCAUACUAAUGACGUCCUGGGAUAUGCCUAUUAAACCAAAAUAAAGAAACGCCCCAAAACUAUUGGGCUUCUCAACGGUUUAAAAACAAAAAUGUAGCUAAAGUAUUUUUUAUUUUGUUUUUACUUUUUAUUUUAAAAUGGAGUAGGGGUACGGCGCUGGUGGUGUAGGGGUUAGCACGCGACCACGUAAAGAGGCUA